CACUGCGUUAACACGCAUCGUGACCUCCCUCCCCUCCUGCUGCGGUUUUCUUACAUUUUUUCUUCUCCUGCAGUUUCUAUGUCAAAAAUUUACGCAUAACAAGGAUUAUGUUAAGCCUGCUGUAGUUUUUAAUUUACCACAAUUACUCUCAAUAUAGGUUACAAAUUUACUCCACUCUUCAUUAAACUUUGUUUCCUUUUGGUGUCUGAUUUUGUUUGUCAUUCUUGCCAAUUCUGCGUAUUCGAAUAAUUUUGUUUGCCAAUCCGUAAUCGUGGGAAUUUCCACUGAUUUCCAUUUUUGAGCUAUUAAUAUCCUAGCUGCUGUUGUCACAUACUGAAAUAGGUUUUGGUCUUUUCUUUUGAUUUCAUCCCCAAUUAUUCCUAAGAGGAGUGCCUCUGGUUUUUUUGAAAAGGUGUACCUAAAAAAAUUUUUUAAUUCAUUAUAAAUGAGCUCCCAAAAUUUUUUUAUUUUGUCACACGCCCACCACAUGUGGUAAAAAUCCCCCUCCUUCUGCUUACAUCUCCAACACAUUUUGUUUCCGCUUUUAUACAUUUUAUCCAAUUUUACCGGUGUGAUAUACCAACAAUACAUCAUUUUCUCUAGGUUUUCCCUUAAUGUGACACACCCUGUGAAUUUCAUUCCUCUGUUCCAUAACCUCUCCCAUUUUUCGUACUCUAUAUUAUGUCCUAAGUCCAUGGCCCAUUUUGUCAUUACCUCCUUUACUUCUUCGUCUUUUGUGUCCCAUUCUAACAACAAAUUAUACAUCUUAGCUAACAGUUUGGUUUUCCUUCUAAUCCCUCUGUCUGGUAUCUUGAUUUUUUCUCGUUCAUCCCCGAUUUUUUAUCCUCAUUCCAAAGUGCAUUUAUCUGAUGGUAUUGCAACCAGCCUGUUAGUCUGUCUUUCAGUUCAUCAUAUGGUUUAAUCUUCCAACCUUUUUCCGUUUUAACCAGUAUGUCUUCAUAUGUUAGCCUUUUCGUUUCCAUAUUUACCUUUUUUAUUGUUAGAAUGUCUGUCGGGGAUAGCCACCAAGGAGUGUUCUUUUCUAAAAGUUUCUUAUUUUUUCCCCAAAUUUCAAGCAAUGCUCCUCUGAAAAUAUGAUUGGAGAAUCCUUUAUGGACCUUUCCUUUAUUGAGCCACAAGUAAGCAUGCCAACCAUAUCUAUUGUUAAAGCCUUCUAAGUCUAACAGAUCUAAAUUCUCUAGGGUAAUCCAUUCUUUAAGCCAACAUAGGCUGGAGGCCUCAUAGUAUAAUCUUAGGUUUGGCACAGCAAAGCCCCUCUUUCCCUCCUGUCUGUUAAUAUUUGAAAUUUAAUUCUUGGCCUUUUUGCCUGCCAUAUAAAUUUUGAAAGACUUUUUUGCCAUUCCUUAAAAAUCGCGGAUCCUCUAAUCACCGGAAUGGUUUGAAAUAAGAACAGCAUUUUUGGGAGGAUAUUCAUUUUGAUUGCCGCCAUCCUUCCAGACCAUGAAAGUUUUAAUCUAUUCCAUAUUUCCAGAUCUUUUUUAAUCUCUUUCCACAUAGGUGUAUAAUUAUCACUAAUUAGAUUGAUAUUUUUUGAAGUUAACCAUAUACCUAAGUAUUUGACUUUUUUUGAGACCUUAAUUCCACAUUCCUGUUCUAUGUUCUCUUUUGUAUUCCUAUCUAUAUUUUUCACCAACAUUUUAGUCUUUGUUUUAUUUAGUUUGAAACCUGAUACCUUACCAAAUUCAUCUAAUUGUUCCAACACUUUACCGACGCUUAUUUGUGGUUCUUCUAAUGAUAACACUAGGUCAUCUGCAUAAGCUUUCAACUUAUAUUCCUUUGUUCCGACUCUAAUGCCCCGUAUCUCUGGCGUGUAUCUCACCUCAUUCGCUAUGACCUCUAGAACCAUUAUGAAUAGUAAAGGGGAGAGAGGGCAACCUUGUCUUGUUCCUUUCAUAAUGCUAAAUGUGUCUGUCAGAUUCUUGUUACCAAUUAAUUUAGCUGUUUGGUUAGAGUAGAUCGCCUUUAUACCUUCUAUGAAGUUGCCCUCGAUCCCCAUUUCCUCCAUAGACUUUAACAAAAACUGCCAUGAAACGUUAUCGAACGCUUUUUCAGCGUCUAUAAACAGUAAGGCCGCUGGUACUUCAUUUUUAACUUCUAGGUAUUCUAUGAUAUUUAUAAUAUGUCUGACAUUGUCCUUUAACUGUCUAUUUGGGGAGAAUCCGGCUUGGUCUUUAUGUAUGACACCUUUUAAGCAAAGUAAAUUGCAGUUUCAUAAAGAAACACACACACACACACACACUCAAAACAAGGCAGUGUUAACCAUACAAAAGCUACAAUUAUAAUAAAACCAUCAGUAAAAACAUCAUUCAAGACAUCCAUAAUUACUGGCCUGUUAAAAUAAAAUUCACAUUUCAAAAGCCAGUUUCUCUUCUGCUUUUUAUCCCAAGGUUACAAAAUUCUGACAUGACACCAAAAGUACAAAAAGUGUCCCCUACAAACCUCCAUAAGGCUGCCGUUUAGAAGAAGCUGAUAUAGAGGGGAUGUAGCUGUUCUGAUAUCUGCAAAUGAGAGAGAUCACUGGCAAGGGAGUCCCUUUUAAUAGGACAAUUUCUGAUGGUGAAAAUGUCGGCAGGAAAGAGAGAGAGGCAGCUCUGCUCCACCCUACAUUUUAACUCUGCUAUGAUAGAAGAUCAGGUUACUUCCAAAUGGAAGCAAACAAUAAUAAAUUGGGCUCAUUCACUCACAGUGUUUAAUGGGAUAUUUAAUGGGACAUUGCUCCCAGGUAAAUGUGCAGAAAAUUGCAGUUGUGUUGUAGGCAGCCCAGUCAUAAGCCAUUCAAAAUGCAAAGGACAUACACAUACCAAUCAUAUGGGAUGUGUUAUUAUGCCUGACACAAUGCAGCAAAUGUACCCAUGGUAACAAAAAGGAUGUAAACCAAGGAGCCCUUUAGAUCUCAAAAUUAACUAGCACAAAUUUUUAUUAGGGUCAAGAGCUGUUUGCCACCUGAGGAUAAGCUUUCCCCUUCAACUAGAGCCAUACAGUUUCAGGGUUCCUGUCAGUACCAAAAUCCAGACAAACAUAAAAAUUCUGCUAGUAUGAGGCAUCAAACCAUAGUUAUAGAACAUGGUAACAGAAUCUUACAUCUCCCUCUUCCUUCAAGGAGCUCAGUAUACCCUGGAUUAUGGAGAGAAUGGCAAGGAAACCUUAAUAAAUCCCAAAAUCCUCACCUCCCAUAAUUUUAGUGCCCCCUAAAAAACACCUUUUGUACUAGUCCCACUUGUUAAGGGGACCCACCCUUGGCACCAGUCCCAGCAUAGAUCAGAGUGAAGUGGCUGCCUCAGGCAGUAGCUGUUUGGAUGGGGGGGGGCUCUCAGGUAUAGUGGAGGGCACUGCCUGGUCGCCUCUUUGAAUCACGAUUCAACUGCUACUCUCGAAAGGGUGAGGGAUGCCAACUUGUCUUUUGCCUCAGGCAGCAAAAUAUUUGGGGUCACAGCCCUGCACAGCGCCCUAGGAUCUAUCCUGUAUUUUGAGCUCACAGAGGGUAACAUUUCAGCCACACAGCAACUUUGCAAGUUAUGUUGAGAGAGACAGAGUGAUUUCCCAACGUUGCAAAUUUAGUUUGCACAAUUAAAGCUGAUUGCUCCAUGAUAUUUGCUGCCCCAGCCCCAGCCCCAAAUCAGACUUUUUCUGAUAAGAGAAGUGAUGAGGAAAUGCUCAGGAAAUGAGUAGACUAACAUUUGCCUCAUGCAACAUUGUCUAACUCCCCACAUACCAAUCAGAAUGAAAGCUCAGUGAACAGGUCAGCUGGAAGUGACCUCAGAGGGAUUAAAGGCAUUCCCAGAGGGUUCCAAAAUGCAUUUUCAGGUAGUGUUGGGAUUAUGUUCAGUUCUAUGAUGAAUGUUCACUGUAUGGUUCAUUUUUAUGUAAACUGCUUAGAAAUGUUAAUGAUUAAGCAGCAUAUAAAUGCCUUAAAUCAGAGGUGGGGAAGGUUUUGCCCUUUGCCCAUUUCCCCAUACUCCCCUUUUAAGCUACACACACCCCCACACACACACCCAUGCCUGAUCUCAGAGGCUUAGAAGUGGAGUGGGAGGAGACACACAAAGCUCUUUUAAAGUUUCCCCAUGCUUUUUAAGCCACCAACAUUGUGGAGUUAAAAGGGAGGAAACAUGCAAAAGGCUUUAAGACAGCCUCCACACUCCCUUGGGCAGCUCAAGUGGAAGUACAGGAGUUGUCUUAAAGCCUUUGCAAAAGACUCUUUAAAGUAGCUUGCAUGCACACCCUGCUUCAAAGGGCACUUUUGGGCAGGGCUUCGAUCCCCACUCAGCUGAGGAGCAGAGAUUAAAUCCUGCUACCUUGGCUGGCCGAUCCUGUUCAGACAAGCAGGCUAUUGCAAUGCAGGGAUGGGCAGCAGGUAGAUCAGGAUCUGUAGCUAGAAGAUCUCUCCUUUGCAGUAGAUCGGCAAGAGUUUUUGAUGACAAACAGCAUCAAAACAAUUUGGCCCACUUUAAUUAGGCUCCCAAAAUUAAGACAGCUAAGCAGGAUUUAUACAGAAGGCGAGGGUGUAAAAAGUUGUGUUUCAUCCCAAUAUACACGAGGGGCGCUGUGGUCUAAACCACUGAGCCUCUUGGAUUUGCUGGUCAGAAGGUUGGCAGUUCGAAUCCCCGCAACAGAGUGAGUUCUUGUUGCUCUGUCCCAGCUUCUGCCAACCUAGCAGUUCGAAAGCACGCCAAAGCGCAAGUAGAUAAAUAGGUACCGCUGCGAUGGGAAGGUAAACAGUGUUUCCGUAUGCUCUGGCACUCGUCACGGUGUCCCGUUGCACCAGUAGUGGUUUAGUAAUGCUGGCCACAUGACCUGGAAAGCUAUCUGUGGACAAACCCCAGCUCCCUUGGCCUGAAAAGCGAGAUGAGUGCCACAUCCCAUAGUCACCUUUGACUGGACUUAACCAUCCAGGGGUCCUUUGCCUUUUUUAUAUAUUCAUUACUCUUGGAUAUUGCAUUUGGUAUUUAUAAACCGCGUUGAGUUUUGUUUUUUACAAUCGGUAUAUGGGUUUUAUUAAAUAAAUAAAUAAAAUAACAAAACACAAUUUAAUCCAUGCUUUUUCCUUUGGUAGGUCUUUACAUAAAUAAAGUCAUCAUGCUUUCCUUUCACAUUGGCUCCUGAGGCAGAUGCAACUCAUCCCCCCAGGGGCACUAUAGGGGUGGGACAAAGCUUCCCUUUGUUUGAACCCUAUCCAUGUCUACUCAGGGAUAUCCCACUGAAUUCAAUGGAGCUUACUCCUAGAUAUGCCUUUGCACAUAUAGUCUCACAGUUAUGCACAGUGAAUAACUAUUGUCUGAUCAAUGUAUGUGGAACAUGUAGCCUUACAGCACAAUCUUAACAAUGCCUACUCAGAGGCAGGUCCUAUUGAAUAAAUGGGGCUUACUCCCAAGUAAGUAAGUUUAGAAAUACAGCCUUCGCACGUGCACGUUUAUUAAAAAGCAAGUCCCAGCACUUGGUGUGAUUUGGGCAGCACAACAUCCUUGAAGUCCUACACACAAUAUAGAAAGCAGCAGUUAUUGGCUCUAAUGUUUUUAAGAUGUUUAUUGUUUCAUCUAAUAAAUAAAUAAGUAAACAAUGUGAUAUAACUGCCGGUAUGUUACUCUGAGGCGUUUUGAGAAGGGUGGAAUACAAUGGUGAUAGUUUUCUCAGAGGCCAUCAGAGGCAGAGGAAGCUGCCUUAUACGGAGCCAGACCAAUUUUGGGAAAGUGCUACAUGGGCCAGUCCACCAAUUGGCUACCAAUGAGAACAUAGCAAAACACAAAAUGGCUGCCAUAUGGUGUGGUAUGAAAUAAAUUUGCCUGGCUGUGGAGCGUGAAGGCCGCACCCUGCAAGCCCCUUUCCACGUGGCUUAGGCCCAGACUCGCUAGCCCCACAAAAGAGGCUCCUCAUGAGGCCAGAGGAACAUGGCCUGGCUGUGGGGCAUGAUUCAAAACCUCCAGUCCCAGUCCAGUACUCUAACCACUAAACCACACUGCCCCCCAUUGCAGUCUAUAACAGCCUGGAGGACCACAGAUGCCCCAUAUUCUCUGGCUCUGAGAUUGCCCAAAGUUUCCUUUCUCUCCCUUGUUGUGCAAAAAGAAAAAUGCCCAUGACAAAAUGUGAGACAUUUUUGGUUCUGCUUCUCUCUCUCUCUCUCUCUCUCUCUCUCUCUCUCUCUCUCUCUCCAUUUAAAGGAGCCUCAUCCCUUUUCCCACCCAACUUACUCCUGCACACAGCUUCAAAAUUUCCAUGAAGAACUAACUAAAUAACCAACCAACCAACCCAUAAUUGGAAUUUAUGAGAUUAAGGAGAUAAUUUAUUUUUAUGUAAUCAAAAUAGAUGGGAGGAUAAGUUAAUUGCGCAAGGCAAGAAUAUAUAGGCUGGCAAAAAUCAAAAGAAACAAAGAUUAUGAUUUGGGUUCUUAAAAUAACAACAACACAUGCCUCCUCAGUGGAUUUCAGAACUGUGAACUUGGCUUUGCAACACUGGUAGCUGCACCGUAUAUUUAAGGCGCCCCCACCAAGAAUCCUGGGAACUGUAGUUUGUUAAAGGUGCUGGGAACUGCAGCUUUCUCAUGGUUCCGGAAACCAUAUUGAGCUCUUUGGAAUUUUCAGAGAUUGGGGGGGGGGGGGCUGUUAAUAGAUGCUGUGGAAAUGAAUUCUUCUUGUGGUUUCCGUGUACGAGAUCCAUCCCAGUAUAUAAGCACUACGGUUUGGGAGGAGGCCAGUUGUUUGGAAAGCACAAGGUCGAUAGAAAAAGACGCCCAGACUUUUGUGGACUGUGGCAGAUGAGGACAGAGGGAGACUGCGAUUUGGGGAGAAUGUAUCUUAUUCUAAGUAAAGCUUAAUUCCACAGAAACGGAAAAGAUGUUUGCCUUUCUAGGAUAUGGCACUGCUGUUCAGAUCGCAAGUUACCCAACCUCACAAUUACUUAGGGUCAUGCAAACAGACCGAUAGCCCAUUCUAGUCCAAUGCACUGAUGUCCACAAAAACCUGACAGAUGAUUCAAGGAAGCUUCCAGGCAGUGCAUGAAGGCACUUAGCUCUUCCCCGCUCCCAGAACUGAUAUUCCAGGACAAACCUUUUUUAUAUCAGAACUCUAAUGCGCUAUUACAAUUAAAGGAGGUGAAAACCCAGCCCGUUGGGCGGGG